ACACACACACACACACACACACACACACACACACACACACACACACACACACACACACACACACUUUCAGUCUGCAGAUACUGACAAAAGGUUUGAAGGUUUCAAAAUGUGUUAAACCUCAUUUUGGGUCCAAGUGGAAUCUUUUUAACUCAUCGUAAAGAAGUCCACAGUUUAAAUCAAACUUUAUUUAAUGACCUCAGUGGUGCAAUGAAUCUAAAGUAAGCACAUGUCAAAACUCAGUCAAUGUUUGAGCAUCGACCCUCUUUGCCGGAGCACCAUGACAUCACACUCUACGGGAACAACUGUAGAAAAUUAACCCAAAAUAUUUUUAGGUGAAAAGUCUGUUAAGUAACAGUUAAAUGUUGAGCUGCACCGAAAAAAGCACCAUUUAGGAGAUAUGACACUAUCACAAUUUUUGCAUUUACAAGUGUGCAAGACGGUUCCUGGUUAAAACCCAGGGUGAGGGAGCCCUUCUGUGCAGAGUUUGCAUGUUCUCCCUGUGUCAGCGUGGGUUUCCUCCAGGUGCUCUGACAUGUUCUAUUCGUGUCAGCGUGGGUUUCCUCCAGGUGCUCUGACAUGUUCUCCCCGUGUCAGCGUGGGUUUCCUCCAGGUGCUCUGACAUGUUCUCCCUGUGUCAGCGUGGGUUUCCUCCAGGUGCUCUGACAUGUUCUCCCCGUGUCAGCGUGGGUUUCCUCCAGGUGCUCUGACAUGUUCUCCCUGUGUCAGCGUGGGUUUCCUCCAGGUGCUCUGACAUGUUCUCCCCGUGUCAGCGUGGGUUUCCUCCAGGUGCUCUGACAUGUUCUCCCCGUGUUAGCGUGGGUUUCCUCCAGGUGCUCUGACAUGUUCUCCCCGUGUCAGCGUGGGUUUCCUCCAGGUGCUCUGACAUGUUCUCCCUGUGUCAGCGUGGGUUUGCUCCAGGUGCUCUGACAUGUUCUCCCCGUGUCAGCGUGGGUUUCCUCCAGGUGCUCUGACAUGUUCUCCCUGUGUCAGCGUGGGUUUCCUCCAGGUGCUCUGACAUGUUCUCCCCGUGUCAGCGUGGGUUUCCUCCAGGUGCUCUGACAUGUUCUCCCUGUGUCAGUGUGGGUUUCCUCCUGGUGCUCCGACACGUUCUCCCUGUGUCAGCGUGGGUUUCCUCCAGGUGCUCCCACAUGUUCUCCCUGUGUCAGUGUGGGUUUCCUCCAGGUGCUCUGACAUGUUCUCCCUGUGUCAGCGUGGGUUUCCUCCAGGUGCUCUGACAUGUUCUCACUGUGUCGGUGUGGGUUUCCUCCAGGUGCUCUGACAUGUUCUCCCUGUGUCAGCGUGGGUUUCCUCCAGGUGCUCCAGCUUCCUCCCACAGUCCAAAGACAUGCAGGUUAAUUGAUAACUCUAAAUUGUCCGUAGGUGUGAAUGUGAGUGUGAAUGGUUGUCUGUCUCUAUGUGUCAGCCCUGUGAUAGUCUGGUGAGCUGUCCAGGUUGAACCCUGCCUCUCACCCAGUGUCAGCUGGGAUAGGCUCCACCCCCCUUGACCCCCAAAACCUUGUCACUUUAUUGCUGUGCCAAAUUUGAAAUUCCCUUGAUGCGUUCUUGGGAAAUCAUGUUCACAAACAUGGGACCGAUGGACUUGCGUACAGACACCCCACAAACAUAAUGCCUCCAGCCUCGGCUAAAAACCACACAGCCGUCCUCCCUUAAAAUCCUGCAUCAUUAUUUAUACAGGUUGUCGGGGUGAUGCAGGUGUUUUGCAGAUAUUGACUUAUUAAUGAACUUUUCUGCUGAUUAGGUUUUUUAAAACAUCUUAACGUGUGAUAAGUCCAACAGUUAUUAAUGCACCCUGGUGUCAUGAUGUGUUUCCUGUACCAGCUGGAGAGGUGCUUUUAUUAACAGGUGAUGUUCAGGGUUCACAUUCCUCAGAAGAGACUCAACAUCAAGAGGUAAAUGCAGCUGUAACUCUGACUCCGGUUUGCGUUCCUCCUUCUUCCUUUUCAAUCUGUUUGCAUUCUGAAACUUCAGUUUACUGUAACUCCCACAGACACUCUUUCUCCCCUCGUGUCAACAUUUGCCCCUGCAGCACUUUAUUUUCUCAGUGUCCACUCCCCCAUCGUCUUCAUCUCUCCACCUCGUGCCUCGCUAUGUUUGAAUUAAGCCCAACAGACUGACAGGAAGUUUGGAGUGAGGCCUCGUCGAUGUAGGUAGGGAAACGAUUCCCGGUGCAAAAAGCCAUGAAUGACCUUUCUCCUGAAUCAGCGCUGCGUAAACAUGCCAGCUGAGAAAGUUUUUCCUUCCACAGAUUUCACAGUUUUCACAGUGGGCAUCUGCGAGUAAUUAUUCACAAUCAGUGACUGAGUUUUUUGGAGUUUGUAGCACAUUAACAGGGACUGAGAGAAAGGAUUGUUUCCUCUGUGUUUUGGCGCUGCGUCCUCACUGAGCUGGUUCAGCUUAAACGAACAUUCAAUUCUGGUGUCUUGUUUCAGAGUGAACGAGGGAAAAACAAUGAUGUAAAUCCUGUUUUAUGUUUCAGCUGACAACCGAACAAAAAGAUACCUGAAUGAGAAAAAUUAAAAAGUGAGUCUGCGUCUUUUAAAAACACAAAACAGAGUUUAAACCAGACUCAGCAGAGUAAACAGGCUGUCUGGUCUCCUGGAGAAAUGUUGGCACCGUCAGUUCCUGCAAACCACAGGAACAUUCCAUACGUAUCAUAUCAAGCUUUCUGAAUUGAUGUAGUACAUGAGCUGUCUUCCAGAGGUGGAGGGGAUGGUGGAUGGCGUGACACUUACGAGUCACCUGCCAAACUGCAGACAGCUGUACGAGACCAACAAGCAACAAAACCAGCUGGGUUUUUUUGAGAAUCAUCACCGCAUUUCCAGCAGCUUUUGAGACUGGAAACAAAAGUGUUUUUUAGCGACCUUUCAACAUUUCUGCUACAAACAAAUGUAACUUGUCCUUUGUUGCCGACUGAAGAGACCUCUGCAGAUAAUUCAGCUCCCACUAAAAACCUCCUCAACAUGUAGAACUUAAAUGACUAGAGAAAAAGGUGAGCACACAUUUGCAGGUGCCAAGCUUGCAGCUCAUCUGACACGCUGAACAGCGUCGGAGAAACACUAGCCCUUUUUAGAUAGGAGUUGUGCAAAUUUGCAGGAAAGCCCAAUCAGUCUUUUUUCAGCAUUGGCAGUAUAAAAACAAAAUCGGGGAGUGCAGCAAAAUGCCGCCUACCUACUUUUGUUUAUACAGAAUGUGCCUUUUUCGGGGCAAUGGGGGGCGUGAGCAAGUAACAAAACGUGUAGCUCAGCGUGUGACGUAAACAGUGACGUGGGAGGGAAGCCACGGCUGGUCAGUCCUUCGGUGAUUCUCUCGUAAGUCGGCCCGUCCUUCACCGUCCCCGUCAUCUGACGGUUAAUGGCCUCUUCGUUUGCGAGGACAAGGAGGGCGCGCAAUUCCUUGUCUCCCCAGUUGCUCAUCUUUACAGUGUCUGUCAGGUUUGUGUUUCCCUCUUGCUACUAGCUGCUCGCUAAUUCCUGCUAUCAGCUGUUUCCUGUUUAUCCACCGCCAGUGGCUCACACGUGCAGCGUCAUCAACAGCUCCUCCCACAAGUCGUCAACAGCUCCUCCCACAAGUCAUCAACAGCUCUUCCCACAAGUCAUCAACAGCUCCUCCCACAAGUCAUCAACAGCUCCUCCCGUGGCAGAAGGCCGCCUUGGUCUGUUUAAACUAAAAGGUUCCACCAAUAUGUCUACCCUACGAGGCGGAAAAUUGGGCACCUCGGAUCAACUCGCCAAUCCGGCUCUGUGUGUCUAAACGCUCGCAGCUUGCCGGCAAAACGGCCCAACAUUCACCGAAAAUCUGGCAGUGUAAAAGGGGCUACUGAUGGUCAGAGAACAUUUGAUUUGAUUAGUUAAAACCUCCUGAACAAUAAACACUGAAGGAAAUUCAGCCGGGAGAAGUUUCAGCUGGUUGCAAUCAGCAAGCCUCACAGCUAGAUGAGACUAAAUCCCCUACAGUGCAUCUCACACACUGUUCCUUUAAACCUACAUUAAGUUAUUUUUUUGUCAUUUGGGGGCAGCAAAGACAAGCUGUAAACUCAACACUGACAACUCAGUCCAAUAUUCACUUACUUUUCACUCUGUUUUUGGUCUCCUCCUCCUCCUGAGGCAGAUCUUUGUCUCUUCAGCUGCUUAAUGCUUCACCAAGUUCACCAGCUAGUCUCUCACUGUGUGUGUUUGCUACUGAGCACAAAGUGCACUGUGGCUUUUUACAGCUUGCUCACUGACAACAGAUACUGCUACUGUAGCUGGAAGACUUAUGAAUUAUUAGGGGGAAAAGGCUGUUGUGUGUGUGCAGUCACUGUGAAGGAGAAACUGCACUUCAGCUGGUUGAUACUGAACAUGUUGGUUUAUCAGGUUCACUGUGUGAGUUCCUGAAAACCUUUAAAAUGUACAGCACACAUUGGUGCAUGAGAAAAUCAAUGAUAGUAAGUGUGUCACCGACAUGACUGACAUCAUUAGGCUGUUAGAGUGUGUGUGUGUGUGUGUGAGCGGAGUGUGUGUGC